CAGAGGGUGCGAGCGUUGUCCGGAAUCACUGGGCGUAAAGGGCGCGUAGGUGGCGGGCCAAGUCCAUGGUGAAAGCUCGAUGCUCAACAUCGAGUCGGCCACGGAUACUGGUUCGCUCGAGCACUGUAGAGGCUAAUGGAAUUCCGGGUGUAGCGGUGGAAUGCGUAGAGAUCCGGAAGAACACCGGUGGCGAAGGCGGUUAGCUGGGCAGUUGCUGACACUGAGGCGCGACAGCGUGGGGAGCAAACAGGAUUAGAUACCCUGGUAGUCCACGCCGUAAACGAUGGGCACUAGAUGCUUGGGGGAGCGACCCCCUGAGUGUCGUCGCUAACGCAGUAAGUGCCCCGCCUGGGGAGUACGGCCGCAAGGCUG
rnacentral:rRNA from 1 species